ACAUAAAAGCAAUUAGAUAUUGUUGGCUCUGUCCUUACCUACAAGACCUGAGUUCAGGAUGCUCAGAGAACCUAACCUGCAGCUGGAGGAGCUGAAGCUGCUGGAGAAAAUCCAUCUUCUACCAGAGCUGGAUGCUGACAGCUCAGAACAGCUGAAUCGCUGCAGAAAGUCUCAGAUGCUGGUGCCCAAGGACUCACCCAUCUGUGCCAUUAGGAGAGGAGAGGAGAGGAGAGGAGAGGAGAGGAGAACAAUUUCCAGAGCCACCACCCAUCAGGAUCUACUACCCACCUCUCCCUCUUUGGUUUUUUUGUAGCUAAGAAUGAAAUGCUUGAUUUUGGAUGCAGCGUGGUUUAUAGACCCAAGACAAUAUUUCACCAUGGAACAAGCAUUUGUAUGGAAUUCAUGCCCUUUGCAUGCAUUUACAGAUGGAGUGAAUAUAACUGUUUCGAGGUUUGCUAUGUUUCAGAAAAUUAAAAAUAUUAUUCCAGGAAAUAAAAUCUACACUCAUACUGGACA
rnacentral:lncRNA from 1 species